GACAAACGCUGGCGGGGUGCAUGAGACAUGCAAGUCGAACGGGGUUGAGCGGGCUUGCUCGAUCAACCUAGUGGCGGACGGCUGAGUAACGCGUAGGGGACCUACCCGGAAGGGGGGGAU
rnacentral:rRNA from 1 species